GGCAGUGCUUUUAUAAGUUUAAAGAUAUAAUAUGCAAUGCUUUCCUCAAAAAAACUAUGUAUAGACUAAUACAAAAGUAUGUAGUUCCUCUUCAAUCAUCACUGAUGACCCACUAGAAGUGUGUGGUGGUGUGUGUACUGUAUCUGCAGAGACCCUGC